rnacentral:rRNA from 1 species
UACGGAGGGUGCAAACGUUGCUCGGAAUCAUUGGGCGUAAAGCGAGCGUAGGCGGUCUUAUAAGUCGGAUGUGAAAGCCCUCGGCUCAACCGAGGAAGUGCACCCGAAACUGCAAGACUUGAGUGUCGGAGAGGGUGACGGAAUUCCCGGUGUAGAGGUGAAAUGCGUAGAUAUCUGGAGGAACACCGGUGGCGAAGGCGGCAUCCUGGACCGGCAUUGACGCUGAGGCGCGAAAGCCAGGGGAGCAAACGGG